CAGUCGCCGCGGUAACACGUAGGGUGCGAGCGUUAAUCGGAAUUACUGGGCGUAAAGCGUGCGCAGGCGGUUGUGUAAGACAGGUGUGAAAUCCCCGGGCUUAACCUGGGAACUGCGCUUGUGACUGCACAGCUAGAGUAUGGCAGAGGGGGGUGGAAUUCCACGUGUAGCAGUGAAAUGCGUAGAGAUGUGGAGGAACACCGAUGGCGAAGGCAGCCCCCUGGGCCAAUACUGACGCUCAUGCACGAAAGCGUGGGGAGCAAACAGGAUUAGAUACCCCAGUAGUCCCUGUCUCUUAUAA
rnacentral:rRNA from 1 species